CUGUUCACACGGUUUAUUGAACAAUUCCACACACAUCGGAGGACAAACAAAAGAUACACUGCAUGGUAACACAUUCAAAUAAAAAAGGACAACAUUUACAAGCCAAAGAAAACAGGCUAAAGAUGAAUCUCUGAAAACAGUCUUGCAUGUGUGCUUGAAAGGCAAGGAAGCGUUGCGCUGGAUGUGACAUACAACAACACACUGUGAGAUAAGAGAUAACAGGGCAGGCAGAAGGUGGCAGGCAACAAAUAUUAUCUCCCCCCAUGUGAUAUCAUUUAGGGAAUUAGGUGUGCACUUUAUGCUUAAGAGAAAACCUUGUAAAAGGAGCCAAUAAAUUCAAAAACAACACACGCCAAAACAAAAUUGUGGCUAGAUUUGGGAAGUCAUUAUAACUGUGCUAAGAAAGAAGGGCACACUGUGAACAAGCAGGAAGACUACAGGACAUAAGGGUGUCAUAUGACAAUGAGCCUGGGGAAGGGCUUAAGCUGCAGCAUGGGCCUUUGUUGUGAUGGUCAUAUGAUAGUAACAUUGAUUAAAAACGUCCUCAUUACGUGACUCUUUGAGGUGCACUGCCUUUGAAACAUUAAGAAACCUCAAGAAAUGAUCCAUGCUACUGUAAAGCCGCACACUUUGAUUUCCACAUGGUGUAAAAAUGCUUUUUUUACUGUAAUCUAUGCGACAAUUUUAACCAUGUAUUUAAAACUAGUUUUAGAGCUGCCCCAUCUGAAUCUACAUCACAGCUAUACAUCCCUAAGUUCACUGAAAAAAAGGAAACGUUGCCUUAAAUGUAUUAUGUCAACACAGUUAUGUGAAAUCUGUUGACAUAACACAUUUAAUUUAAGUCAACUUUUCAGUUUUCUCAGUGUCGUCUUGUUUGAAGUGUAAAACUUCCCCUCCUUCCUCCUCUCCCCCUCUUUUUAUUAUUUUCUUUCUCUAAAUCUGCGUCACUGCAGUUGCCUCACGUAGCCACAAACUGUCAGUUUUUCGCCCGUUCGUUUUUUCAGCUAGCUCUCGUGUAUCCUCUGUGUCAACAGACUGGCAGAGAAAGUAGGUUAUCGGUCACAUUCAUCUCCAAAGUCACGGGGGAAGUGUGUGUGUGUGUGUGUGUGUGUGUGUGUGUGUGUGUGUGUGUGUGCGUGUGCGUGUGUGUGUAUUGCGGUAACAUCUUUCUGUUUUUCUGCAUAACAAACCCAGCUGAGGCUGAUGUAAUAUUGCUGUGCUGUGGAACUUUAACUAACCAGAUGUUGAAUGAUUAUGAUACUUGCAUUGCACGUGGCUACUGCUCAUGUAGCCCCAGUGUGUGUGUGUGUGUGUGUGUGUGUGUGUGUGUGUGUGUGUGUGUGUGUGUGUGUGUGUGUGUGUGUGUGUGUGUGUGUGUGUUGGGGGGGGGGGUCAAUACAGUGCAACAGAGUGCACUCUUUGGGAAGCAAAGCCACUGACAUUCAAGAACAUGGUGCUGCAUUUUUAGCAAGUUGGCCGUAAGUGUGUGUGUUUGGAUUAGAGUGUAAGUGUUUUGGGCUGAUGAGUUGAGGCCCAGAGCUUUGGCGCAGCUCUGCCGCAGCUGCAGGCCUCAUCUCGGGGUUUCAUCACUGCUGGCUGACCCCCAUCUGCUGGUGGUCCGGCCCCGGUUCCCCCUCCAUGUCAGCGUGGUAGUGCUCAAAACUGUCGUCCUCUAUGUCUGGCAGACCCAGCAGCUACAGUGAAGGAGAAGAAGACUAUCUCCAGCACCUCAU